GGUUCCCGUGAUGAAUAUACAAUGAAAUCUCGUACAGUUGACGGGAUUACCCUAGAAAGAACAAAACUAUCACACGCCUUGGCCAACGAUCCAUAACGUUUCAAAAACAGGUUUAUCCCUAGCUCCAUGACAACGUAGGAGAAAGUGUGCAGUCCUGUGUGUAUUCGCUCGUGCUACUCGCAGGACUUUGGAAUUCCGGCGAAAUUGGGAAAAAGGAAAACUCACCAAAUCGAUCAGCUGUGACAGAUGGAGACCAAGGCGGACGGUGACGACUUCGCUAUUAUUACUGACAGGUCGAGUAAGCCGAUUGUAAUGACUCAAAAGAUCAUCGUAGAGUCUUUUGGCAUCAGGAUUGGCUGCACAUGGCCUGAUGACGGCCACACUAACGAGCAGGGUCGUCACUAUCAACUGGCUGAAGGCAACAACGGUCCGGCAACUCUGUCUGUCCAACAACAUGUCGACCGAGCUUUUCCACCCUGCACUCGCUCUUGUUUUGGUCGUCUGUUAUUGUCUUGUGCGUGGAUUGUCUUGUUGUAUUCUUCUAUUCUCCCCCCUUUAGUUGUAGGAAACGCUCAACAGGCCGGUUUCUCUUGUUCGGCGUUGAUCUUGGGGUCAACAAAGGUGGACGUAUGUGGUCCCACUGCUCAAAACACUGAGGGGAGGAGCCGACGACCGUAUCUUGAACCAAAGAGAAUAAUAAUGGCCGACCGAGUUCUAUUGGGCGAACUCUACACUGAAGGAGCACGAUAGCAUUCGGCUUCCUCGUCGGUCACUUGAAGAGUUCUGUUGUCAACACAAUCUGGGACGAAAACACACAGGUUGCACCAACUGAUGGAAAAAUUUUGCUGGAUGCUGGGUAGACACGUCAGGUGGCAUCAGUAUGGAACGGAUGAAACAGCCGCCAUGGCCGCCGCCAUGGACGAACGAGGCGCACGCACACACUCGCUACACACACACAGAGAGAGAGAGCAAAGCUUCACGCACACACAGAGGCAAAAAUGUGGCAUAAAAGGGGGGAGGCUGUGUGGGACGUCAGAAGCUCCUGGGAUGGUUAGAUCUCAGGAGAAAAAGACUAAACUAGUAGCUGGAACGUCGAUGGUGGCGCUAUCGUUUGCGACUUGCGCAAUUGAUGGCAUUGGUCUCGAUAUGGUACUAAACAAUUCUGGCUAUCCCUCGUUUAAUGUCAACUUCUGCAGGGCAAAUCAAUCAAUUUCCUUAUUGAUUGGGGUUGGGUCCUCAUAAGGGGAAUUUUAAAAAAAAUUUCUUUUAUUCUUCAAUACCAUCAGGAUGAAAUCUUCGGUUUUCACGACGGUCAUUGGGUAUACUGUAAAUGUGGGUAUGGAUUAGUCUUGGUAUAAGAUGAUUGUGCAUAUUUUUGGUAAACGAUUGCAAGGCUGAUACGCGCUGACGGGCAAGGCUGUUUUGUAAAUCAAUCAAUCGAGUUUUGCUUGAUUGCGUAAACCUCCUUUCUAUAGGCGAACCACUCGAAGCGAAAAGGGGGGGGGGGUCUGCAAAUAGAAGCACCCGGGAGCCAAAGAGCUUUCGCUACAUCUGUAUCAAUAGAUACAUAACGCAAUGCGGUCUAAUUCGAUUUCCAUUGAAAAUCAAUUACAAUCUCCUACUUAAUCAGAAGGACAACGUCGUGAUCCAUAUAUGUUUUAUAGCGCUCUCCAGACCGUACACUAUAUCACAUCAAGAUCAUUGAUUGGUGUGAAUGCAUAGGGAAGUAUACACAUUCGAUCUUCUGUAAUUAUAAGAACAACGAGCUGUCUGAUGUGAGAUCGAUACAACUUUUUAAAACAGACUCGUGAAAGAUAAUUAUGCGAUGCCAAGGAAGUGUGGGAUGGUAACCGGAGAAAUAAGAACAAAAUCUACCCGAGUGUCUUGGAAUGCUGAUCGUUUGAAUGACGAGAUGAAGUCAAACGUUUCAAGCGGGGCAAUCCACUCAGGAGCGCGUGCCAUCAUUAAAGCGAGCGAGAUGCUUUAUAGCUGCUACGAGUGUUUUCAAGUGUAUACAGUCGACGCUCCGUCUAAUUAUAUGGAGAACGCCAGAGGGGAGCAUGCCCGGAGGAGUGCAAGCCGCCUCGCUGUUCUAUGAACGGCUUCGGUUUAUAAUGUAUGUUCACCCAAAAACGUCAUAGAUCUCUGUUGUGUAUAUUUUAUACACGUUUGCUAUAAUAGCAGAUAGAAACUAAUGCAUCUAUGGCCUCUGUAUGUAUGUAUUUGACGCACUGUUGCCAACCUUCUCUAUGUUAGUUUGUAUUGAUUUUCAUAACGUGUAGAGACGAACAGCAAAAACCAACACGAUAGAUCUGAGUUUUUUUUAGUUCUUCGAGACAGAGUGGCUCGUGACGCAAAGAGAGUUUGUCAGAGACAAGUGUUUGAAC